UACGAAGGGGGCUAGCGUUGUCCGGAUUUACUGGGCGUAAAGGGCGCGUAGGCGGCCACCGCAAGUCGGUUGUGAAAUCUCUGGGCUUAACCCAGAAAGGUCAACCGAUACUGCGGGGCUAGAGUGCAGAAGGGGCAACUGGAAUUCUCGGUGUAGCGGUGAAAUGCGUAGAUAUCGAGAGGAACACCUGCGGCGAAGGCGGGUUGCUGGGCUGACACUGACGCUGAAGCGCGAAAGCUAGGGGAGCGAACGGG
rnacentral:rRNA from 1 species